UACAGAGGGGGCAAGCGUUGUUCGGAAUUACUGGGCGUAAAGGGCGCGUAGGCGGCCUCUUAAGUCGAACGUGAAAUCCCCGGGCUCAACCCGGGAACUGCGUCCGAUACUGGGAGGCUUGAAUCCGGGAGAGGGAUGUGGAAUUCCAGGUGUAGCGGUGAAAUGCGUAGAUAUCAGGAGGAACACCGGUGGCGAAGGCGGCAUCCUGGACCGGCAUUGACGCUGAGGAGCGAAAGCCAGGGGAGCAAACAGG
rnacentral:rRNA from 1 species